rnacentral:rRNA from 1 species
AACGAACGCUGGCGGCGUGGAUAAGACAUGCAAGUCGAACGAGAACAGUCGGAUAGCAAUAUUUGAUUGUUCUAGUGGCGAAAGGGUGCGUAACACGUGGCUACCUACCUUGAAGUGGGGGAUAGCUCGACGAAAGUCGGAUUAAUACCGCAUGUGAUAGCGAUAUUAAAGCUGGGGAUCGUAAGACCUGGCGCUUCAAGAUGGGGCUGCGGCCUAUCAGCUAGUUGGCGGGGUAACGGCCCACCAAGGCGAUGACGGGUAGCUGGUCUGAGAGGACGACCAGCCACACUGGAACUGAGACACGGUCCAGACACCUACGGGUGGCAG